ensembl:lncRNA
GGUAAAUAGGCAUCUGCCAGGUGCCAGCACAAUCAGGGGAAAAUAUAUAAAAAGUUCCCUGUUUCAAAUUCAAUGUGACAUUGUGCAAGUUGAGAGGCAGCCAUUUAACUAUUCAGAGGAAGCGGCUUCCUGGGGCACCUCCGGCCUCCUGGCCAGGGACAUUCCUCCCAUUUCUCCCCCCGCCCACCCCAUGAGGCUGGUUUUCUUUACCAUGGUUUUCGGCCACAAGAAGAGGGUUUCCUUCUUGUAGCCCGAGACAUCAGCAGAGGGGAACAUCUAAGAUGGGUGGUCCAGACCCAAGUUUCUAGAGAGCACCUCACUCCUCAGCUGAUUUGAGGCUUAAAGCACCUUCCCUGGACCGUGAACUGCCCCCAGACAUUCUCCACGACCGCUCUCCUGUGCUUUCCUCUCUGAGGAAUACACCUUUCUCGGGAAGGGCUCUGUGUCACAUCACCUUCUCUUUCGGGAGAACCCUGGUGAUAAUCUGGAGGAAAACCAAGCAAGAGGAAGGCUUUCAGGGGAAAGAUGCAAAACUCAUCAGGAUCAAAAAACCAACACCUGCAGGAAUGUUGGAGAGUAACACUGAAGCAAGAAAGGAGCCUCUGGUGUCCCCAGACAACAGUAAAAAAACAAAUUCCCCAGAUCCAAACUGGAAGCAAGUCAACAUCUACAUGGGUCCUGAUGGAAUGAAAAGAGGAAAGACUUUAAUGAAAUACAGAAUAUGCUGCCAAGGAGACUGACUGAAAGUAAAGACAUCAAAGAGUUUUGACUCCGCUGCUGCCCUUUUAAUCCAAGUUUCAACAAGUAUGUAAAAGCAUUUCUCUUCUCAUUGACAGUCAGAAAAUAGAUGGAAUGAGAUGAGGUGUAGAAUUGAUAAUCAUCCAGAAAACC